GGUGACACGGAGGUGUGUGAUGUCGUUAAAACUAUGGAUGUCAACCGAAUUUCUCCUAACCGGGCUUCGGCUGGGGAUUUGUGCUUUCCGAGAGACCGUCACGACGGAUGCGUCUUUGACCGGUUGGGGAGCUGUUUGUCAAGGGCGCCCAGCCCACGAGUGAUUAUGCUCUCGCCCCCUGUGCAGGCUGGCGAGACAUGUUCUUCUUUGGUCUCAGAACAAAU